GCUAUAUAAAGAUGAAACAUUGGUUCCCAUAUGAUCACCAAAAUUAAGCAAUUUCGAGCCUGGUCAGUACCUAGAUGGGUGACCACUUGGGAAUACUAUGUGCUGA